rnacentral:rRNA from 1 species
AAAUGCUUUAGAUNNGACACNAGAACACCGAUGGAAGGCAGCUCACUAAACUAUAACUGACGCUGAGGCACGAAAGCGUGGGGGAGCAAACAGGAUUAGAUACCCUGGUAGUCCACGCCCUAAACUAUGAUUACUCGAUGUGUGCGAUACACUGUACGCGUNUGAGCGAAAGCAUUAAGUAAUCCACCUGGGGAGUACGAUCGCAAGAUUGAAACUCAAAGGAAUUGACGGGGGCCCGCACAAGCGGAGGAGCAUGUGGUUUAAUUCGAUGGUACGCGAGGAACCUUACCUGGGCUUAAAUGUUGCUUGACGUUUUGAGAAAUCAAAAUUCUCUUNGGAGCAAGCAGCAAGGUGCUGCNUGGCUGUCGUCAGCUCGUGCCGUGAGGUGUUGGGUUAAGUCCCGUAACGAGCGCAACCCCUAUCAUUAGUUGCCAUCAGGUUAUGCUGGGAACUCUAAUGAAACUGCCUACGCAAGUAGUGAGGAAGGUGGGGAUGACGUCAAGUCAGCACGGCCCUUACGUCCAGGGCUACACACGUGCUACAAUGGUCGGUACAGAGGGCAGCUACCUGGUGACAGGAUGCAAAUCUCUAAAGCCGAUCUCAGUUCGGAUCGAAGUCUGCAACUCGACUUCGUGAAGUUGGAUUCGCUAGUAAUCGCGUAUCAGCAAUGACGCGGUGAAUACGUUCCCGGGCCUUGUACACACCGCCCGUGAAUCAC